rnacentral:ncRNA from 1 species
UGCAAUGAGAGUUUGAUCCUGGCUCAGGAUGAAUGCUAGUAACACGCUUUACACAUGCGAGUUUAUUAUAUUAAUAAGCGAACGGGUGAGUAUAAUUUAGGUAUUUACCUUUUGAUAAGCCUAAACAAGAAUAGGUCGUUGGUUUGGUAACGGCAAACCAAGCCCAUAAUCUUUAGCAGAUUUGAAAAAAUGUUCUGCCACAAUGGGACUGAGAAACGGCCCAAACAUCUUUUUGGCAGCAGUGAGGAAUCUUGGACAAUGAACGCAAGUUUGAUCCAGCGAUGUUACAUUAGUGAUGACAGUUUUUUAAUUGUAAAGCUAAAACGUUAAAAUAAAUAUUGAUUAUUUUAAUUAUAAGUCCUGACUAACUACGUGCCAGCAGUCGCGGUAAAACGUAGAGGGCAAGCAUUAUCUGGAUUUAUUGGGUGUAAAGAGCUUGUAGAUGGUUUUUUUUGUUUUCUUAAAAAGAAUAAAGCUUAACUUUAUUAAAAAGAAAAGACAUUAAAUCUAGAGUUUUAAAAAAGAAAGAAGAAUUUUUAGGGUACAGGUAAAAUUGGUUGAUCCUUAAAGGAAUUUCAAAGGCGAAGGCAUCUUUCUUUUUAUAUACUGACAUUGAGAAGCGAAAGUAUGGGUAGCGAAAAGGAUUAGAGACCCUUGUAGUCCAUACCGUAAACUAUGUUCUUUAACAAUAAUUUGACUUUUUGGAGUUUUAUUUUGUUUUUGCUAACGCAAAAAGAAUCACCUGAAAAGUAUAACUGCAAAGUUGAAAUUCAAAGGAAUUGACGGGAGCUAAUUAAAGGCAGUGGAACAUGUUGAUUAAUUCGACAAUACGCGAAAAUCUUACCAAUUCUAGACAGUAGCAUUUUUAUGUUAAACAGGUGUUGCAUGGUUGUCGUCAGUUCGUGUUUUGAAAUGUUUGGUUUAGUCCUGCAACGAACGCAACUUCUACUAUUUAAUAUUUUUUAUUAAAUAAUAUCGCUUGAUAUAAUCAAGAUGAAAGAGGAAAUGACGUCAAAUCUUCAUGACCCUUAUGAAUUUGGGCUUCAAACGUGUUACAUUGAUAAAGACAACUAGAAGCUUAUGAAGUAAUUCAGAGCAAGUCUAUAAAACUUUAUUUUUGUUCGGAUUAAGGUUUGAAACUCAACCUUAUGAAGUUGGAAUUGCUAGUAAUCGUGAAUAAGCACGUCACGGUGAAAUUUUAACUUAGCUUUGUACAUACCGCCCGUCACAUUAUGGGAAUUAAAAUCGUUCGAAAAAGUAGAAAAUACUUUCAAAAUGAGAUUUUUAACUGUAAUGAAGUCGUAACAAGGUAGCCGUAAGUGAACUUGUGGCUGAAACUAUAAUAAA